AGACUGAGGGCCUGAUCCAAAGCCCACUGAAGUCAACGGGAGCUUCUCAGCUGACUUCAGUGGGCUUUGUGUCAGGCCCUAAUGCU
rnacentral:pre_miRNA from 1 species